AAAUUGAAGAGUUUGAUCAUGGCUCAGAUUGAACGCUGGCGGCAGGCCUAACACAUGCAAGUCGAACGGUAACAGGAAGCAGCUUGCUGCUUUGCUGACGAGUGGCGGACGGGUGAGUAAUGUCUGGGAAACUGCCCGAUGGAGGGGGAUAACUACUGGAAACGGUAGCUAAUACCGCAUAACGUCGCAAGACCAAAGAGGGGGACCUUAGGGCCUCUUGCCAUCGGAUGUGCCCAGAUGGGAUUAGCUAGUAGGU
rnacentral:rRNA from 1 species